AGUAAAUAACGAAACUGAAGAAACAAACCAAAUUUGAUACAGCAAAAUCCGGAUACCAGAUCGACAUAGAGACAGAGAAGGAAGUCCAAAAAUUUUGAAAUUGGUGAAGUAAAUUUGAUUUUGGCGGGUCAAAGAGACGAGAGCCAAAUCAUGAAGCAAGGUUUUAUCAAAUGCCCUCCUUAUCUACCAUCUACCCCACAAAUUUCAUGUGUUUUCAUCUUCUACGAUCAGAGUUCAUUAGAGGUACUUGAGUAGAUUAAAGUCAUAUGUGCGAAAUAGAAGCCGACCGGAGGGUAGUAUGGCAAAAGGAUACCUUACAAAUGAAUGCUUGACAUUUUGCUCAAGGUAUAUGGAAGGUGUUGAGACACGAUUCAACCAGAUGUCUCAAAAUUAUGAUGAGGGGGGUAAUGGUACCGAAGGAUUAUCUAUUUUCUCAAUGCCUGGCCGACCAUUAGGUAAGGGCGUGAUGGACACAAUGGAUGAUGGCACAAAAGAAAAGGCACAUUGAUAUGUGUUAUUUAAUUGUGAGACUGUCAACAAAUUUAUUGAACAACACCGUAGACUUGUUGCCAUACAAAAUCCACGUCUUCGUGAAAUGGCCAUUGAUCGUAUUCAUAGUGAAACAUUUCCGAGAUGGUUUGAUAAACAUGAUUCAUAUGUAAAGCAAAAAGCCUAUGGACCCAUAUCUUCAGUUUCGCUCAGGCAAUGUUGGUGAGUUUACUGGGUCAACUCCAUCUGAGAUUCAGCAAAACUCUAGUAAGCCCAAUGAUAAUGCAGAUGGUGCUAGUGAAAAAAAGAAAACUAGAGGUCCUACUCAAAUGCGUAAUAUUUGGGGUACUCGAGAUGAUAAGUGCCUAACAGUCAAUUGGAUGACAAAUUGGCAACAAAAUUAUCAUCAUUCAUUGGAACUAUUGUACGUGAUGAGAAAAAUGCACCACUCACUUACAAGAAUUGGUAUAAAGUCCCAGAAUAUUACAAAGAUCACAUAUGGGUACUUGUACAGUUAAAGUUUGAUCUUCCAAGUCAUGCUAGGACUUGGGUUAUGAAGUGCUCUGGUAAGAAGUUAAAAGACUGGAAGGCAGACAUAAAGAAAAAUUAUUAUAAAAACCACUUGAGUUGUGACUAACAAAAGCAUUAUAAAGAUAAGAGAGUAUAAGCUGAUCAGUGGAAACACCUUAUUAAGUAUUGGGCCAUGUAACGCCCUCAAAAUAAACCAAUAAAACAUACAAUAUUGACAUGCUUAGACAUAAGGGAAUAAAGCAUAAUUACAUUUCAUCGGAGUAAUUCUUACAAAUAUAUUACAUGUUGACAACAAAA